GGCCCCGUGGCGCAGUGGUCAGCGCAGUACUGGUCGUUGGCAGCACACUCCCACUCUGUGUCGUUGACAGCACGCACGCAGUAACGGUCCUCGGUUCGAAUCCUUGCGGGGCCA